rnacentral:lncRNA from 2 species
UAAAGUGAAAGCAAGUUUACUAAGCAAGUAAAGGAACAAGGCAGGGUGCAGUGGCUCACGCCUGUAAUCCCAGCACAUUGAGAGAGGCUGAGGAAUACAGGCAUGAGCCACAGAGCCCAGCCAAAACUACAUUUUAAAAAUAAUUUUUUAUCAUUACACACUCCACUAGAAACCAUUUAACCCAAUUUAUGGACUUACAUUUCUUCCAUUGAAGAACUUGAAGGAUCCAAAAAUCGAGGUGACAUUCUCAGAUUUGUGUGGCAAAAAAAGAAUAGAAAAAUAACAGAUGCAAAGAAUGUGUUCCACCAAUAUGUGGAGGAUCCCUUUUAUUU